UCAGAAGCCAAUAUAGUUUAUCAUUAAAUAGCCUGCACUAAUGCAGUUUGAAAUAGCAUGAUACAUCAAUCAGAACCUGAUUUGUGAUACUUAUUCAUUAUCCUAAAAAUAUCAAGCAAUAGUCUGCAAAAAGUCUAUUAAGAGUCUCAAACAUCGCCAAAGAUGUGUUUCAUGUGAACUAUUAUCCACAAAAAGACACUUAGACUGCAUUAGUUGUAUGGAAAAGGAACUUAUUGCAAUAUCUAUGAGUGAGAGUGUGUAUCUGUUUAUCUUUUUUGUGUGCAUGCUUCAGAGAUGGAGAGUGAGAGCCAUCUAAAUUAUAACGGAGACAAACCAGGUAGAGAGCAGAUUAAGGUUCCAUCCUCUGCAAAUUCAGCUCUCCACCUAAUGCGCUCCCAUACCAUAUCUCCAAGCAUAUCCAUUAUAUCCGUAGCUAGCUAGCACAAAUAGUGUUGGAUAAAAUUGUUCCACAGAUGUGUCCAUCAGAAGCCUAGCAACCUGCAAACAGAAACAUUCACUUACAAAAU
rnacentral:lncRNA from 1 species